AGUCACCUCACAAUGUGAAGAGGGACACUCCUCCUGCCCAUAAAGCUAUGCAGCGCCAGCGAUUUUUGCUAGCGACUAUUGUUUCUAAGUACCUGAAUCACUGCAUCUAGCCUACAGCUGUUAUUUCAGUUGAUGGAGAUAUCCAAAAUCAGGAGUUUGCCUUUCUGUCUCAACCUGUGACAAGCAUGAUAAUCAUGACAAGCGUGAUAAUAAGGCAAUGGAAAAUGAUUCAUGAAAUCAUGGAAGAAAGACCCUGUAGGUUAAUCUGUCAACGUUUAAUUAAUUGAUAAGACAACUCUGACAGCAUUGGAUGUAGGAGUUAAAUAGUAGAUCAAUGUUACUUUGUUCAUUAUAUAAAACAUUUGACAUCACAACUUCAAAAAACAUAUUAUGCACUAGUUUUGUUUAACACAGAUGACCAGAGUACAGUUUGUCAGACUCUGCCAAAGAGAAGUGGUUUCUGUGAUAGCAUUACACAUUCUCCUUCCAACCCUUGCACACAUUCUUUAGCUUGACCCGAAACUUUGAGGAACAGGAGGCUGCUUUUUAGCAGAAGAUGGUGGGCUUGAUGCAGGACUUCAACCACCUGUCCAGGGAGAUGUGAAAGGGUGGCACCGAUGCACACUGCUAUAGGUCCCACAAACCCACUUCCAUACCUUUAUCAAUGGUUACUGUAUUUAUUGUAUGAUUUGUGUAUGUCUAUCUCACACAUUCUUAUCACAUUUCUAAACAUAUGUUUUUAAAUAAAUGUACUGAUGAGCCCAAGUUUUCAA